AGUGAACGCUGGCGGUAGGCCUAACACAUGCAAGUCGAACGGCAGCACAGUAAGAGCUUGCUCUUACGGGUGGCGAGUGGCGGACGUGUGAGGAAUACAUCGGAAUCUACUUUUUCGUGGGGGAUAACGUAGGGAAACUUACGCUAAUACCGCAUACGACCUACGGGUGAAAGCAGGGGAUCUUCUGAGCUUGCGCGAUUGAAUGAGCCGAUGUCGGAGUAGCUGGUUGGCGGGGUAAAGGCCCACCAAGGCGACGAUCCGUAGCUCGUGUGAGAGGAUGGUCGCCGACCCUGGAGCUGAGACACGCACCAUGCUCCUACGGGACGCACCAGUGGGGAAUAUUGGACAACGGGCGCAAGCCUGAUCCAGCCAUACCGCGUGGGUGACGGAGGCCUUCGGGUUGUAAAGCCCUUUUGUUGGGAAAGAAAAGCAGCAGGUUAAUACCCCGCUGUACUGACGGUACCCAAAGAAUAAGCACCGGCUAACUUCGUG
rnacentral:rRNA from 1 species